rnacentral:rRNA from 1 species
CUGCCUGAUGGAGGGGGAUAACUACUGGAAACGGUAGCUAAUACCGCAUAACGUCGCAAGACCAAAGUGGGGGACCUUCGGGCCUCAUGCCAUCAGAUGUGCCCAGAUGGGAUUAGCUAGUAGGUGGAGUAAUGGCUCACCUAGGCGACGAUCCCUAGCUGGUCUGAGAGGAUGACCAGCCACACUGGAACUGAGACACGGUCCAGACUCCUACGGGAGGCAGCAGUGGGGAAUAUUGCACAAUGGGCGCAAGCC